rnacentral:rRNA from 1 species
AACGAACGCUGGCGGCAUGCCUAACACAUGCAAGUCGAACGAGACCUUCGGGUCUAGUGGCGCACGGGUGCGUAACGCGUGGGAACCUGCACUUAGGUUCGGAAUAACUCCCAGAAAGGGGUGCUAAUACCGGAUAAUGUCUUCGGACCAAAGAUUUAUCGCCUUUGGAUGGGCCCGCGUUGGAUUAGCUAGUUGGUAGGGUAAAAGCCUACCAAGGCGACGAUCCAUAGCUGGUCUGAGAGGAUGAUCAGCCACACUGGGACUGAGACACGGCCCAGACUCCUACGGGAGGCAGCAGUGGGGAAUAUUGGACAGUGGGCGAAAGCCUGAUCCAGCAAUGCCGCGUGAGUGAUGAAGGCCUUAGGGUUGUAAAGCUCUUUUACCCGGGAUGAUAAUGACAGUACCGGGAGAAUAAGCUCCGGCUAACUCCGUG